rnacentral:rRNA from 1 species
GACGGGGGGGGCAAGUGUUCUUCGGAAUGACUGGGCGUAAAGGGCACGUAGGCGGUGAAUCGGGUUGAAAGUGAAAGUCGCCAAAAAGUGGCGGAAUGCUCUCGAAACCAAUUCACUUGAGUGAGACAGAGGAGAGUGGAAUUUCGUGUGUAGGGGUGAAAUCCGUAAAUAUACGAAGGAACGCCAAAAGCGAAGGCAGCUCUCUGGGUCCCUACCCGACGCUGGGGUGCGAAAGCAUGGGGGAGCGAACAGGG